AGCAGCCGCGGUAAUUCCAGCUCCAAUAGCGUAUAUUAAAGUUGUUGCAGUUAAAAAGCUCGUAGUUGAAUUUCGGGGUUAGUAGGUUGGUCAUGCCUCUGGUAUGUACUGGUCUCACUGAUUCCUCCUUCCUGAUGAAUCUUAAUGCCAUUAAUUUGGUGUUUUGGGGAAUUUGGACUGUUACUUUGAAAAAAUUAGAGUGUUUAAAGCAAGCUAACGCUUGAAUACAUUAGCAUGGAAUAAUGAAAUAGGACGUUCGAUCCUAUUUUGUUGGUUUCUAGGAUUGACGUAAUGAUUAAUAGGGAUAGUUGGGGGCAUUAGUAUUCAAUUGUCAGAGGUGAAAUUCUUGGAUUUAUUGAAGACUAACUACUGCGAAAGCAUUUGCCAAGGAUGUUUUCAUUAAUCAAGAACGAAAGUUAGGGGAUCGAAGACGAUCAGAUACCGUCGUAGUCUUAACCAUAAACUAUGCCGACUAGGGAUCGGAUGAUGUUAAUUUUUUAAUGACUCAUUCGGCGCCUUACGG
rnacentral:rRNA from 1 species